AUAAACGAAAAAAAUAAUGUUCUUCAAAAUUCUUAAAUAGUUCAUCAAAGCUAAAUAACAUGUUGCAAGGUUCAAACUUGGGUCAAAAGAAAUUUGGCUUAGGGUUUGAAUCAGAUGCACCUAUUAAAAAACCCUUACAUACCUUAACUUAUAAUGAUUAUUUUGUAAGGGAAUCUAGCUAUAGAAAACCCAUUCAUCUUAAGAAAAAGAAAAAUCACUCUAAUAUGAAUCAUCCAAAGCAAAGAUGGAUGACUUAGGAUGAGCUAAGAAAUUAUAAACAAAUUAAGUAUUUUAAUUCAUCUGGACCCAACUCAGUAUGGGCACCAAAAGAUUUUUCAACUCUUUCAAUAAAAACAAGUGUCAAAAUGGUUGUUCGACAAUGGAUGCACAAGGCACAUGACUGGGGAAUCAAGUCUACUAACAGACUUGAUAGACUUGCCUACUGCUAAAAAUGUCAAGUUCGCCGAUAACAACGAAGGUAUAAUAGUAGGUAGGGGUAAUGUAGGAAAUAUAGAAAUACCAUUUUUAAGAAAUGUAUAUUUAGUAAAUGGUCUUAAACACAACCUGAUUAGCAUAAGUCAAUUAUGUGAUAUUGGUUGUGUAGUAAAAUUUGAAAAAUAUAAUAGCUUAAUUACUAACUCUGAGGGAGUUACUAUUGCCAAAGGAUAUAGAAAAAACAAUGCCUAUUCUAUAAACUUUGAUAAAUCUAAUCCUGAUGAAGCACGAAAUCUGCUACCAGUAGGCUCGCGGGGUUGCGAGGAGGGCCGGAGGCUUUGGAAUUAACGACGCGCGCUCUACGUCAAUGUACCUGCAGAAGUGGAGGGGCGUCGGCGACUCAGGUGUGGGAGUCGGCGACUCGGGCUCCUUGGUUUGCUCUGGUGUGAUGUGGUCAAGUGGGAAUGACUUGGUAGUAGAGGACCCCCAAGGGCCCCUUUUAUAGGGUCCUGGAGGACGUUUCCCCAUUCAUUAGCGUGGGGCCCACCGCAUUAUGGUGCCCUAUUGAAGGGUGCCAUAAUAACGUGGGCCCUCCCAAGUAACGGCUGGGAAUCGGCGACUCAGGUAUGGGAGUCUCCGAUUCAGAGGUGGAGUCGCCGACUCCCUUGUGGUCAGGUCCUCGGUCUACCAGACCCGAGUGCCCUGUCUGGAGUCGGCGAUUCACCCCUGGAGUCGGCGACUUGGUAGCCCCAGUCGACGAUUCCCAGGUGUUGCCUUGAGUACUUGACGUAGAUACUUCCUCCGCAUUGUGGAACUCUCCGGGGGUUCGGCAUAAAUCGACGGAACCCUAGUCCUUAUUGAAGGGCGUUGCUGAGAGUGACUGACGUAAUCAAGCAUGUCUCACCAAAUCCCAUUCAUGACUUCUGCAUGCUUGCUGCAAGUGAUGAAAAAGUUCUAUGACAUAGACGUUUAGGUCACACCAGUUAUUUAAAACUAUCUAAAUUAUCUAAAGAAGAAUUAGUAACUGGGUUGCCUAAAAUAGCUUAUGAGAAAAGUAACAUCUGUGGUGCUUGCCAAAAAUGAAAGCAACACAAAAGCUCUUUUAAAUCCCUCACAGAAAUAACCACUUCUAGACCCUUAGAACUUCUUCACAUGGACUUAUUUGGGCCAACCCAAACCCAAAGUCUUGGAGGAAAAAGGUUCACCUAUGUAAUCAUUGAUGAUUACUCCCGCUAUACAUAGGUAUUCUUUCUAAGAAAUAAAAGUGAAACCUUUGGUGAAUUCUCUAAAUUUUGUACCCUAGUAUAAAAUGAAAAGAGUUCAUCCAUCAUAAAGAUCAGAAGUGAUCAUAGAGGAGAAUUUGAAAAUUCUGAUUUUGAAGAGUACUGUACAUCCAAUGGAAUAAAACAUGAAUUUGCCUUUCCUCAAGCUCCACCUCAAAAUGGAGUAGUUGAAAGGAAAAAUCGUAUACUUCAAGAAAUGAAUAGGUCUAUGUUACAAGAACAUGACUCCCCUCAAUAUCUAUGGGCAGAAGUUGUAAGCACUGUCUGUUACAUUCUCAAUAAGGUAAUCAUCAGGAAAACCUUAAACAAAACUCCUUAUGAAAUUUGGAAUAACAGAAAACCCAAAGUUUCAUUCUUUAAAGUAUUUGGGAGCAAGUGCUAUGUUCUCAAAAUAAGGAAAAACCAAGAUAAAUUUGCACAAAAAUCUGAUGAAGGAAUCUUGGUUGGAUACUCAAGAAGGAGCAAGGCCUAUAGAGUGCUACUCAAGGAAAGAUAAACGUUGAAAGAAUCCCUACACGUUGACUUUGAUGAAUCCAUAUCUGUCCCAAACACAGAAGAAGGAGGAAUUGAAAUCAUUCAACAAUUACCACAAGACACUCCUAUAGAAGAAGAUGAUCAAGAAGAAAUAAUCAUUCCUCAACUUCCAUCAAGUAGGAAUCUUAGAAACCCACACUUUGUAGAACAAAUCAUUGGAGAUCAACACACUGACGUACAGACAAGAUCAUCUAUACAAGGCAAUUGCGUCCUAAAUUGCUUUGUAUCUCAAAUGGAGCCCAAGAAAAUUGAAGAAGCCCUAGACGACAGUCAUUGGCUAAUGGCUAUGCAAGAAGAACUCAAUCAAUUUGAGAGAAGCAAUGUGUGGGAGUUAGUUCCAAAACCUAAAGAUACAUCUAUCAUUGGAACAAAGUGGGUUUUUAGGAACAAGCUGGAUGAAGAUGGAAAAAUCAUUAGAAACAAGACUAAACUGGUAGCUCAAGGUUACAAUCAACAAGAAGGGAUAUACUACGAUGAAACCUUUGCACUAGUAGCUCGCUUAGAAUCCAUCAGAAUGCUUUUGACAUUUGCUUGUCACAAAAACUUCAGACUAUGCCAUUUGGAUGCGAAAAGUGCAUUUCUAAAUGGAGUAGUAAAUGAACAAGUGUAUGUCAAACAACCUCCAAGCUUUGAAGACUUUAAACAUCCAGAUUAUGUUUUGAAGCUAAACAAAGCUCUGUAUGGACUUAAGCAAGCUUCCUGAGCUUGAUAUGAAAGACUGAGAAAUUUUCUAAUAUCUCAGAACUUUAGAAUGGGGAGUAUCGACAAUACAUUAUUCAUUAAAAAUGUUAAGGAUGAUAUCCUUCUCAUUCAAAUAUAUGUUGAUGAUAUUAUAUUUGGCUCAACAAAUAACACAAUGUGUGAAAAAUUUUCGAGUCAAAUGGAAAAGGAAUUUGAGAUGAGUAUGAUGGGAGAAAUGACUUUCUUCUUAGGUUUGCAAGUCAAACAAAAGGAGAGUGGAAUCUUUAUAAGUCAAACUAAAUAUGCUAAGGAAUUAGUCAAAAAGUUUGACCUAGCCGACUCAAAAUCAGCUGUAACUCCCAUGAAUUCAACCUUAAAGCUAGAUAAAAAUUCUGAGGGUCCAUCUGUAGAUAACAAAAAAUAUCAUGGAAUGAUUGGAUCCCUCCUAUAUCUGAUAGCUAGCAGACCAGACAUUAUGUUUGCAGUCUGUCUAUGUGCUAGAUAUCAAUCUGACUCUAAAGAGUCUCAUCUCAAAGAAGUUAGAGAAUAAUCAGAUAUGUAAAAGGUACUAUCACACUUGGAUUAUUCUACCCUAAGAAUGAUACUUUCAUCCUUAAUGCCUAUUGUGAUGCUGACUUUGGUGGAUGUAAAACUCAAAGAAAAGUACAAGCGGUACAUGUUUUCUGUUAGGAAGUUCACUUGUAUCUUGGUCAUGCAAAAAGCAACAUAGUAUAGCCUUAUCCACAACAGAAGAAGAAUAUAUGGCAGCAUCCAAUGGUUGCGCACAAAUUUUAUGGAUGAAGCAAACUCUGUCUGACUAUAACGUCAAGUUAGACACAAUAUCUCUAAAAGUGUGACAAUAAGAGUGCAAUAUGUCUAUCAAAAAAUUCUAUACUGCACUCUAGGUCAAAACACAUUGAUGUCAGACAUCACUUCCUUAGAGAUCAUGUAGAAAUGAAAAACAUAUGUCUGGAAUAUAUCCCAACUGAAGAUCAGAUGACAGACAUAUUCACUAAACCCUUAGAUCAAGAAACUCAUUCAAAAAUAAAAAGAUCUAUGGGUAUAUGUGAACUUGAUGAAAUCUGAUAUGAUCUCUUAAAUAUUCUUAGUAAAAACUUGCAUGCUUAUAUUAUGAUCAUUUACAUGCUAAAAUAUACAAUAUACAUGGUAAAAUAAAGAUCUAAAUAUAAUGCAUGCCUACAUGUCUAGUUAAUACAUUUCAUGCUACUAAGAUUACAUGAUAACUAUCUUUUACAUUCUUAUACAUGCAAGCUUAUACGUAUCUAUGAAUCAUACAUGCAUAAUACUAAAUCUUUCUUUACUAAAGUCGUUGACUCAUAAUCAUUUAUAAAACUAAUCCAAUACAUGCAUAAUGAAAUUUCACGUAUUACUAAUCAUCUGCAUGUUUAGAAUCAUCUGAUAAAUACAUAUUACAAUCGUGUGCAUGUAUAUAUGCAAAGUAAAAUGAGUCUACUUAAAUAUAAGAUUUAAAAUACAUGCAUGAAAAACUUCAAGUCUAUCAAUAAAUCUUUUACAUGUUUAUAAAUGCCACGAAUAAGAUUAUGCAUGCAAGUUAACACUUAAUUAUGAUUCAUAAGACAUGCAUGAUAUAAUCUAUUAAAAGAUAAAAGAUAUGCAUGGAAUAUUCAAAGGGUCGUUGACUCAUGCCAUGUCACAACAUACAUGCACUAUGAAAUUAACCAUGGAAUAUCCAAAUCCAUAUAGCAUUAUCUGUUACAAGUACAGGUGGCUUGGGUAAACAUGCUAAUUGUCAAAAUCUUGGUAAGCCAAAACCCUUUCUAUAUCUUGAAAAACCAAGCAAAAACCUCGGCAUUGGAGAAAGAAACUGCACACUGCAACCUCGAUACAUGAAAUUUCAGCCACCAAACUUAACUUGUCACAGCCAAGUUAAUCAGUCACUCAUGACACCAUACCCGGUGUGUGAUUUGCACAGUGCAAGAACCCUGCAAGAAGCUCUGGCAGAAGAAAAUCUCGCACCUGCACUACACGAACACAUCAAUCGUUACCUGCAAAAGUUGAAAAAGAAGCAUGAAUUGUCGUGGAUAGAGCAAGGAAUGCGUCGAUCACUACAAAAGGUAUGAUUUAAAAUAAAUUAUAUAUAGAAAAUCUGAAAACAUAUCUAAAUUCAGAUCUUGUAGACAUCUGAAAAGACAAAAUUUCUGUCUAAGAAAUUUAAUUAAGAUAAAUCUGUCUAAAUUCAUCAAGUAGGGUUUAUGGUUUAUUGAAAAACAAACCCUAAAGCUGCUUACUUUUCAAAGUUAGACACGACCCAAAGCUAAUUUGAUCAUCACUUGUAAAGUUUACAAGCAAUGUCAGUUAAUUGGGAAUCCGGACAGAUCUUUAAACUUAAAGAAGAUCACUCAAAAUACUAUUUAAAGCAUAGGAAGAACAAACAAAUUCAUAUCUUCUUCUUCUUCCUAAAUCCAGUCUGUCCCAAGGAUGUUGAUUCAAGAAAUCAACCUACAACAGAAGGAGAUAACCAUCAUACCCGAUUGUCCUUCCAGUCCGGUAUACAAUCCUAAUUCUUCAAGCAGCAAUAUCCCAUCCGGAAAAAAUGCACCAGAAGGAUACCAGUGACUGAGAUGUUCCAAGGAACACCAACAUGGAUCUCUCCAAUAGCCAAGCUUUCCUACAAUCUCAUUCUCGAGCAAAAAAUGAUCUUUGAGGAAUCAGUUCUGCUCAAAUCUCUCAACUGCAAAGUAAUCGAAGAGCUUUCGAACUUCAAUAGACUCUCGGGCUAUCUUGAGAACAUAGGGCAGCUUAGGAUCUACAAAUCCGAGUUAGCUCAGUUCUAUGCUAAUCUCAAGUAUGAGACAGCAGGUAUGCAAGUGAUCACAACCAAGGUGAAUGGAGUAUGUCUUAUUCUAAGAGCUGAUAACUUUGCAACAUGGAUGAACCUACCUAAUGACGGAGUAAAGCUUCAAAACUACAAAAAUUUGAAUGAGCCAUCCUUCAAAUGCAGCUGGGAGACUCUCUGGAAUACUCUUACUCAUAGGUACAAUCCUAGAAGCACUGAUAAAAUCUUAAACACAAUGCUCAUACCAGAAGUCUCAAUCUUUUUGAAGAUAAUCACUUGUAAUAUAUAUCCUCAAGCUGAUGAUAGAGAAGAGCCAUCAACAAUGAUCUUGGUGGCAAUCUACUGCUUGCUAUCAAAGAUCAGAGUGAACUGGGUAUCACUGAUCAUGCACAAUUUGGCAAUAUUAACUAGGAACACUGGAGCUCGUCACUAUCCAAGGAUGCUCUCAAAACUUCUUGGUCCAGGGUAUUUUGAAAUCCCACUCUAUCUAAAUCCACUCAUAGUUCUUAUUCAACCCUUCACUACAAGCUCAUUCCAAAAGAAAUGGAAGAAUACUUAUAAUCCAAUCUCACAAGACACUAAUGUGUUUUUGAAUGAGGAAAUCAUAAAGAUUCGACAUCAAGUAAGGAUGCUGGAAAAAGGAAUGGGAGAUCUGGAAGAGAUGGUGUCUAUAACAAGGCAACAACUGGAGGUUGAGAGAGAGUACAACCUGGAGCUUGCAAACCUAUUUCAUAAGUUUAGCUCCAAGGUUAUUCCAGCCAUGCACCACCACGACUGAACUACACCUGCCCUAAGGAGUAUUUUGGUAUUUUGAGUGUUUGUAUUUUGUGUUUGUGUCUAUUUUGUUGUAUUUUGAAGAUCCAGCCAUGGAUCUUGAUCUCAUAUGAUACUUGAGAUCGCACCACAUGCUACUCACCUAUGCUGUGUGUUUGUUUGAAGUUAAAUGAAAUAUCAUUUGCAAGUAACACAUAGAAGCUUAUUAUAAGGGUAUGCAUGUAAGAAAAUAAACAAACUUAACAGAAAAUCAAAAUAAGUUAAGGGCUGCAUGGAUAGAAUAAAAACUUCAAAGAAUUAACGUAAAAUGUUUUAUGAAGUUUUUAAGUUUAAAAAGAUUCACUGAAACUUAAGGGUUCAAAUGAUAUCUUUACAGUGAAUGAAUAUUUAUUUAAAACUUCAAGGACUUAGAAUUAAUAUUUACAUGAAGUUUUUAAAUCGAAAAAAUGCUCAGAAAUAUUUAAUACCUCCAAGGUUUAAAAUAAAAUUUUUUAAGUAUUAAUCUAAGUACUUAUCAUAACUUCAAAGGGCUUAAAUGAAAAUUUUUAAGUGAAGUUUUAUUACUAAUACUUUAAGGACUGAAAUGAAAUUUUUAAAAUCUUUUAAAAUUUAGUGAAUAUUUACAUGAUUAUAUGUUUGUCACUAAGACAUAGAUUUUAAAACUUUAAGUGCUCAAUUCUUCUUAAAGUAGUUAAUGAAUAUUGACUUAUACAUACAUAUCAUUCCCUAAUAUAUCUUAUGGAUUAUAACAUUAUAAAAUCUUUAAUCUAUACAUGUUAAGAUCAAUUUAUCCAUAACACACAUGAAUUAUUCUUCAUUGCAUGAUUUUAACACAAGGUAAUUUAAAUUAUCAUAUCAUACAUGCCUUAUAACGUAUAUCAAAAUUGGCUUCAAUCCAAUAUUUUAUCAAUGAGCAUAAAUUACAUGUUAUUUCUUCUAUAUGAUUGACUAACACUCUUAUAAGCAAGAAGUCACAUUUGGUCAACCACACGAAUCAAAUUUGUGAUCAAAGCUCAAUAAGGUAUGAAGUUUUAUUUUCUCCACAAAUUAGAUAUGUCAUAUCAUUAAGGGGGAGAUACUUCACGGGUAUCUAUUUUAACUUUGUCGAUUCCUUAUUGUUUUAAGGGGGAGAUAUCAUGCAUGAUCCACUGCUUUUAAAUUGAAUAUUAUGGGUCAAUAAUUCAGGGGGAGCAUGCUCAUAAGGGUAAAAUAGAAUAUUGACUAGACAUGAAUUAAAACAUAUAUGCCAUCACCAAAGGGAGAGAAUGUAGAAUCAAAAUUGUUCACAUAGGAUUAUAUUUUAAUCAUGUCAAUUUAAAUCCUAAUUACACUAUUAAUCUAUAAGGGUUAAAUAAGUCGGUCGAUAUUAAACCUAACUCCAAUUAAUUAAUUAAUCAUUUGAGUCAAAGGUUUAAUUCAAAGUUAAAAGUUAAAUUGGAAUAAUUGCAUCUUUACCUUGAAUAUUAUUAUUAUUAUCAUCUUUUGACUCUUUAUUCAAGGUAUAAUAUUCCAAGGGGACAAAACACUAUUCACGUUUGAAUUUUUCCAAGAUAAGAUUCUUCAACAAACACUAUCCAAGAAAAUACUAUUCAAGAUAAGAUCAAAGAAAAAACUUGGAUUUAUGUGAGAAAUCAAUGAGCUAUCCAUUGAAGAUCCAAGGGUAGACAUUGAGUGGCCAAGGCUAUAAAUAGAAGGGUAUUCCCCUCAUUUUCACUCACCACACAACAAGUAAAUCAAAAGAGGUUUUCACUCCACAUUUGAGCUCUCACGUUUUUGCCUCCAAGCUUCCAAGUGCUAAAGUGUCCUAGAUUUCCAAAGCUUCAAAAGCUCUCCAACUUCUUCUUCUAAUCUUCUUGUUCAUCUCUACAAGUAAGAAGUGUUGUUUGCUUAAAUAUUCCAUUCCUUUAAUCACCUCUUGUGUGUGUCCACUUUGGUUGAGAGGGUUGUCUCAAUAUCACUAAAGUGUGAGAGAAGGUUUUUAAGCUCAACCAUAAAGCUCUAGUUUGGUUUUAUAGAGUUUCCGGGAAAACUCUUAGGUCGAAUCUACCUUGAAAGAUUUCUAGGUUUUUAAGAGUUCUUUGAUACUCUAAGGUCCUAACUUACCCGUAAAAGUUAGAGGUUUUUAAGAGUUUCAUAAUACUCUAAGGUGUGAGUCUAUCCGUAAAAGACUGGUUCCUAAGCGAAGUUAGCCUUAAAGCUUAGAGAGGUUUUUAAGAGUUCCUUGAUACUCUAAGGUACUAACUUACCCGUAAAAGUUGGAGGUUUUUAAGAGUUCCUUAAUACUCUGAGGUGUGAGUCUACCCGUAAAAGACUGGUUCCUAAGCAAAGUUAGCCUUAAAGCUUAGAGAGGUUUUUAAGGGUUUCCUUGAUACUCAAAGGUUUUGCCAUAACCUUUAGGCUAGUGAAUUCCGACAGUUGGUCUGGACUGGAUUAGCCCUUGUUUGGGUGAACCAGUAUAAAUCCUCUUGUGUUGUUCUUUGUUAACUUUAGUUUUAUCUUUCUUAUAAAAACAACUAAAACAACACUAAAUUGAAAAGGAUCCCUCUUCCAGUUAUCUGGUCAUAACAGAGGUUGACUUCUUUAUGCAGAUCCCUCAUCCAGUUAUCUGGUCAUCUGAGGUUAUAUUAUUUGUCUUAAAUCCUUUCAAGCAUUUACUUAUCGAAGAUAUAUAUAUCCAGUUAUCUGGUCAUUUACUCUAUAAUAUAAUUUGUGUUUGCAAUAUAACUUAGUAUUCACUUACUAUAGUUAUUUACAACACUAUCAAAUAAGUUGACUUAGUAUUCAUAUACUGUAGUAUGCUUUGAAGAGUAAUAAUUAUAAUAUCAUCUAAAAAGUUAUAAUACUAUUAUUGUUCAACCAUUUGUUUCUUAAGUGUUUAUAGGUAAUUCCGCAAUCAACCUUAUAAAUCGAAAAGAAGUAAUUAUCCCCCCUUAUAGCUUCGGAUCACGAUCCAACAAGUGGUAUCAGAGGCAAGUUCCGUUGAAGUCAGACUAACAUCUUACAACAACAACUAUGGCUUCAAAUGGUGAAAACAGUACUGGUCUUGCAUCGAAUAAACCUCCCAGGUUCGAUGGAGUAAAGUAUGACUUCUGGAAGAUCUAUUGAAGUUAUACUUGAAGUCAAUCAACAAUGGAGUCUGUAAGAUCAUAUUGGAAGAUUAUGAGAUUCCAACAAGCAAAGAAGAGACUUGGGAAGCAAUGGAUAUCCUCAAGGAAAACAACAACUCAAGAGCAUUGAAUGCACUAUAUGGUGCUCUCAAUGAAUCUGAGUAUAGCAGAAUUCGAUGUUUGGAUACAACUCACAAGGUAUGGAAAGCUUUGGAGGAUCUACAUGAAGGAACCUCCCACGUCAAGGAAAACAAGCUACUACAUGCCACCUCUCAGUUCAAAAGAUUCUCUAUGAGAGAAGAUGAGACUAUCACAAAUAGUCAAUGAUCUGGCUGGACUAGGAGAUCCAGUAACUGAGAAGAAGUAAGUGAGCAAAAUUCUAAGAAGCCUUCCAAACAAAUACUACUCAAAAAGGAAUGCAAUCCAUGAAUCUCAUGAUCUGAACAAACUCACAAUUGUAGAACUUUGCGGAAAUCUGAUUGCCUAUGAAGAGGAAAGAUUUAUCUCUAGAACAAAAGAAGGGAAAAAGGACAUCGCUCUCAAAAGUCAAUCCGAUAAUGAAACAUCUGAUGAUGACUUGGCAAUGAUCACAAAUCAUUUUAAGAGAUAUCUCAUAAAAAGGAAAGAAAAGAGAAAUUCAAGGUCCAACUAUCAGAAUUCCGAUAGAAAAUUGCUCAGAAACCCCUAAGACGCAAAGGAGCCUAUCUGCUAUCUGUGCAACAAACCUGGAUAUAUCAAACUUGAAUGUCCUCUGCUAAAGAAAGAAAAAGUACAUCGAGUAUACUGGUCAGACUCCGAAUCAGAUCAAGAAGACUGCCUCAUGUCUCAUGAAAGUGACUCUGAGGUAAAUUUUACAAAUACUAGAUUUAAUUCAUUAGAAAAAGGAUAUCUAGAAUUAAUGAAUAAAUAUAAAGCUGAAAAAAAAUUAAGUCAUUAAGAAUAGAAUGCUUGAAUAAAUCACAUGUUGAUCAUUCAAUAGAAUUAGAAGAAUCACAAAAGGAAUGCAUGCUAUUAAAAGAAGGAAAUUAUAAACUCUCAAGUAAAAUAGAAAAAAGGGAUGAAAAAAUUAAAAUACUCAAGAGUCAAAAUUUUGAAUUACUUGAACUUCUAAAUUCUGAAGAAAAUCAGUCUAAGGAAAUAGAUGAUGAUAAGGUUGAAUUGUUAGAAUUAAAAAUAGAUAAUUUUGAGGAAGUCAUUAGGAAUAAAGAAAAAGAAACAAUCAUGCUUAAAACUGAAAUAAAAUCUAGAGAUAAAAUCAUACUUGAGCAUGAAGAAACUUUACAAAAAUUAUCUGAAAAAUGUAACUACAUGCAAUUACAAACUCAAAGAAUAAACGAAAAAAAUAAUGUUCUUCAAAAAUUCUUAAAUAGUUCAUCCAAGCUAAAUAACAUGUUGCAAGGUUCAAACUUGGGUCAAAAGAAAUUUGGCUUAGGGUUUGAAUCAGAUUAACCUAUUAAAAAAUCCUUACAUGCCGUAACUUAUAAUGAUCAUUUUGUAAGGGAAUCUAGCUAUACGAAACCCAUUCAUCUUAAGAAAAAGAAAAAUCACUCUAAGAUGAAUCAUCCAAAGCAAAGAUGGAUGACUAAGGAUGAGCUAAGAAAUUAUAAACAAAUUAAGUAUAUUAAUUCAUUUGGACCUAACUCAGUAUGGGUACCAAAAGAUUUUUCAACUUUUUCAAGAAAAAAGUGUCAAAGUGGUUGUUCGACAGUGGAUGUACAAGGCACAUGACUGGGGAAUCAAGUCUACUAACAGACUUGAUAGACUUACCUACUACUAAAAAGGUCAAGUUCGCUGAUAACAACGAAGGUACAAUAGUAGGUAGGGGUAAUGUAGGAAAUACUGAAAAACCAUUCUUAAGAAAUGUGUAUUUAGUAAAUGGUCUAAAUCACAACCUGAUUAGCAUAAGUCAAUUAUGUGAUAUCGGUUGUGUAGUAAAAUUUGAAAAAUAUAAGUGUUUGAUCAUUAACUCUGAGGGAGUUACUAUUGCCAGAGGAUAUAGAAAAAGCAAUGCUUAUUCUAUAAACAUUUAUAAGUCUAAACCAACUCAUGAUUUCUGCAUGCUUGCUGCAAGUGAUGAGAAAGUUCUAUGGCAUAGACGAUUAGGUCACAUCAGUUAUUUAAAACUAUCUAAAUUUUCUAAAGAAGAAUUAGUAACUGGGUUGCCUAAAAUAGCUUAUGAGAAAAGUAAUAUCUGUGAUGCUUGCCAAAAAGGAAAGCAACACAAAAGCUCUUUUAAACCCCUCACAGAAAUAACCACUUCUAGACCCUUAGAGCUUCUUCACAUGGACUUAUUUGGGCCAACUCAAACCCAAAGUCUUGGAGGAAAAAGAUUCACCUAUGUAAUCAUUGAUGAUUAUUCUCGCUAUACAUGGGUGUUCUUUCUAAGAAACAAAAGUGAAACCGUUGGUGAAUUCUCUAAAUUUUGUACCCUAGUACAGAAUGAAAAAGGUUCAUCAAUCAUAAAAAUCAGAAGUGAUCAUGAAGGAGGAAUUGAAGUCACUCAACAAGUGUCACCUGACACUCCUAUAAAAGAAGAUGAUCAAGAAGAGACAAUCAUCCCUGAACUUUCAUCAAAUAGGAAUCUUAGAAACCCACGCUCUGUAGAACAAAUCAUUGGAGAUCAACACACUAGCGUACAGACAAGAUCAUCUAUCCAAGGCAAUUAUAUCCUAGAUUGCUUUGUAUCUCAAAUAAAGCCUAAGUAGAUCUAUGGGUAUAUAUAUAUGAACUUAAUAUAAUCUAUCAAAUAUUUGUGAAAAUAUGCGUACUUUUACUAUGAUCAUUCACAUACUAAGUUCUGCACACACAUAGCUAAAUGCAUGUCUAUCAUAUAUGACAAUCACGUUAAUGCAUUCCAUGCUACUAGAAGUUACAUGAUCUAAAACAACUAUCUGAUAAAUGCAUGCUUUACAGAUAUUACAUGCUUGAUUCACACACAUCAUGCAUACAUGCAUCACUAUGAAACUAAUCCCAUAUCACCAAUCAUUUGCAUGUCUUUGAAUGAUACUAUCUUUUAAUACAAGUUAAUGAACUAUAUGAUAUGGAAUCAUGAGCAUAAAUCUAUACGUGAAUAUGCAUGCAAACUUAUACGUAUUUAUUAAACACAAGACAUGCAUCCUUCUAAAAGUCAUCAACUCAUAACCAUUUAUGAAACUAAUCCUAUACAUGCCUGUUUUACGUAUUACAAACCAUCUGCAUGCUUAGAAUCAUCUGAUAAAUACAUAUAUAGUAUGCAUGCAAAGUAAAAUGAGUUUACUUACAUAUGAGAUGUACAAUACAUGCAUGAAAACUUCAAAUCAACUCAUUACAUGCCACGAUUAUGCAUACAAGAUUAACACUUGAUUAUAAGAUAUGCGUAAUAUAAUCUAUGCAUGUAAUAUUCAAAGGGUCGUUGACUCAUGCCAUGUUACUUGUAUUAUAAAACAAAUCUUAUACAUGUAUGAUAAAAUAUCACUAAUCAUUUGCAUGUUUAGAAUUAUUUAUUGAAUACAAGUUAAUCAACUAAUACACGACAUCAUUUAUUUUUGAAAAUCAAUUCUACUAUAUAUAUCUAAAUGGUGUGGUAAACCAAACUAUAUCCUGGAAACUCAAAUAAAUAAGAUAAAAUUGGAAACUCUCGUCUGCAACCUUGAUGCUGCAAUUCUAGCCAGCAGACUCAUCCUGUCGCAACCAUCAAUCACUUGCGACAUCCAACAACACCAUACCUGGUAUGUAACCUGCAAGCCAUGAUAACACCUCGCAAGAAGUGCAGACAUAAGACCAUCCUGCACCUGCACAACGUCAAUCGUUACCUGCACAAGCUCAAGAACCGUCGUCUGCAGAAGCAAAGUACAUGGAGGUCACUUCUUGCAUACAGGACCACGUCGAACACUACAAAAGGUAUGGUCUAAAAUAUUUAAUUUGAAUAAAAAGUCUGAAAUAUAUCUAAAUUCAGAGCUGAUAGACAUCUAAAAAGGUUAAAUUUCUGUCUAAGAAAUUUAAAUCAAAACAUCUGGAUGAAUCUAUUCCAAGAUUCACCAAGUAGGGUUUAGAAAAUCAAACCCUAAAGCUGCUAACCUUCCAAAGUUAGACAUGACUUAAAGAUGGUUUCAUCAUUACUUAUAACUCCACAAGUAAUGUUAGUACAUGGAGAAUCUGAACAGACUAUUUAGAUAAGCUUAAGGUUAAUCAAAUCACUAUAUAAGCAUAGGAAGAGCAACAAACUGUAUCCUUUUCUUCCAUCUAAAAAUUCAUUCUGUCUCAAACAUGUUGAUUCAAGAAAUCAAUAUGCUACAACCUAAGGAGGAAUUUAUCAUCACACCUGACUGCCCUUCAAGUCCGGUGUACCAUCCAAACCCCUCCAGUAGCAAUCCCAUCCGGAGAAAGCGCACCAGAAGAAUUCCAAAGGCAGAAAUAUUCCAGGGUUCACCAAUAUGGAUCUCUCCAACGGCAAGGUUGUCUUACAACCUCAUUCUCGAGCAAAGGAUGAUCUUUGAAGAACCAGUCCUGCUAAGAUCUCUCAACUGUAAAGUGAUCGAAGGCCUGUUGAGUUUUAACAGACUUUCUGAUUAUCUUGAGAACAUCGGACAUCUUAGGAUCUACAAAUCAGAGCUGGCUCAGUUCUAUGCCAAUCUCAAGUUUAACACUGUAGGCAUACAAAGGAUCACAACCAUGGUGAAUGGAAUAUGUCUGAUUCUCGAAGCUGAUAAACUUAGUACAUGGAUUAACCUACCAAAUGAUGGAGUGAAGAUUCAAAAUUAUAAAAAUCUUAAAGAGCUACCUUUCAAGUGUGAUUGGGAGAUUCUCUGGAACACCCUUACUCAUAGGUAUAACCCUAGAAGAACUGAAAAGAUCUUGAAAUCAAUGCUCAUACCUGAAGCCUCCAUCUUCCUCAAAGUAAUCAUGUGCAACAUUUAUCCUCAAGCUUACGAUAAAGAAGAACCAUCCACAAUGGUCUUAGUAGCAAUCUAUUGUUUACUGUCAAAGAUCAGGGUAAACUGGACAUCCUUAAUCAUGCACAACAUGACAACAUCAACGACGAGUACUGGAGCACGUCACUACCCAAGGAUGCUCUCCAAAAUCCUCGGUCCAGAGUACUUUGAAAUCCGUCUCUCUCCCAAUCCACUAAUAGUUCACAUCCAACCAUUUACUGCAAGCUCCUUCCAGAAGAAAUGGAAGAAUAUUUAUAAUCCAAAGCCACAAAACACUAAAAUGUUUAUGAAUGAGGAAAUCAUAAGGAUUCGACAUCAAGUAAGGAUGCUAGAGAAAGGAGUGGGAGAUCUGGAAGAGAUGGUUUCUAUAACAAGGCAACAACUGGAGGUUGAAAGGGAAUACAACCUGGAGCUUGCAAACCUGUUUCAUGAGUUUAGCUCCAAGGUUAUUCCAACCAUGCACCACCAUAACUGAAGUAUCUGCCCUAAGGAAUAGUUUCAUGUUUUGAGUGCUUGUAUUUUGUGUCUGUUUUUCUGCUAUUUUUAAGAUCCAUUCAUGGAUCGUAGUCUCAUUGAAUAUGAGAUCAACUUUGUCAUGUAUCACCUUUUCUACUGGAAUGAAAAAAUCAUUUUAUGAUUUUAAUCAUCUAUGCUUAUAAACAUAAGGGUAUGCAUGCAUAAAGAAAAACAUAUUAUCAGCAAAAUCAAAUAUUUAAGGGCUGCAUGAAUAGACCAAAAACUUCAAGGACUUAAACAUAAAUUAUUUAUGAAGUUUUUAAGUUUUAAAAAAUUCACUAAAACUUAAGGGUUAAAAUAAUAUCUUUACAGUGAAUAUAAAUGUAUUUAAAACUUCAAGAACUUAAAAUUAAUAUUUACAUGAAGAUUUAAAUCGAAAAAUUGCUUAGAAAUAUUUACUUCCAAGGUUUAAAAUGAAAUAUUUCAAGUAUUAAUCUAAGUAUUUUGCAUAACUUCAAAGGGC
rnacentral:lncRNA from 1 species